AUCCUUUCGCAGAGGCAAUAUCAUAGCUUAUGAGGUUUAUCCAAGAUGCGAUCAUUGCGGGUUGAAAAUUUUACCCAACGCCCUGCUUGGAUGACUUGGGGGGGAGUCAGCCAUGGCAGUUUUUGAUGGUCUCUGAUGAGA